UUACGGUCAACAAGAUUGAAACUUUUGUUGAUAAUUGUAUUGAAUUUUAUUUAAAACAUUGUCUGAUAAUAAAUUUAAAUAGUUAAAGUUUCAACUGAUAAUAUUGAAAGAAAGAUUUAACUGAAAAAUACCACUCAGUGAUUGAAUUAUAAAUACGUAUAACCUCUCUAUCCAAAAAAUUCCAGUAAUAAUUUGAUGAUAAACAUGCCAGUAAAAAAGGAAAGUAACGACAAAAGAUCAUUUGCUGCUACAACUACAAUGAAGCAUAAAAGUAAUGAAAAAUCUGUUGACGAGGAGACCAUUAUGUCUUUGCUUGCUGAAAAUCGCUCUUUGAAGGAUCAAAUACAGAGAAUACAUGCAAUUUUGAGAGAACAUAAAACUUAUCCAGCAGCUUCAGAAUAUUUAAAGAACUGCAAGAUUCGCUAACUAUGAAAUAAUAAAGGAAGCGUGGUUAAAAUUGUACAUAUCUUCAGAACAAAAUAAUUUGUAUAUACCAGUACCAUAUUUUUUGGUAAAAGAUUAUGUGAAAUAAUAAUCAUGUGAACCAGUAAAUAAAUUGUCAGAAUUGUACA